GAUAAUAGAUUAACGGUGGCAAUUCCGACUCCGAUUACUCGUGGAUGGAGCGUCAGCUGGAAGGGGAAGCGGAUUACUAAUGACGUUUCGAGCUACGCACUUAAUCUUAAGGGUACCGACACCUUUCUCACAGUACUGAUUGAUGGUGAGUUUGAUGAGCCAUGUCGAGUUCGCAUCAUCGUCAUGAACGAAACAAAACGCCACUUUAAAACCAAGACGAUGUUGAAAUAUUUAGAAAUUAAGAUUUCGUUCAGAUUGAAUUACGUUCAGGUUAACAUGGAAGGCCGUGAAAUUAAGUUGCUUCAUUAUCAGAAGUUCUCUUAUACUUCUGUGAGAAUAACCUCCUUGCUUGUCGUCGGAAAUUUCUACACCAAAACUCUGAAAUAUGAAUAUUAACAGAAGUUGAAAACCCCCCACCAAUAUCUGACGUCUGAGGGAAGUGGAAUUUGCGGCUGGGCAACUAAUCUGCAGCAGUUAAAUUCUCAAUACAACGACAAUAUUUCCAAAAUAGUAUGACUUUCGCAUCGAGCGAUACAGCACGUUUCUUGAAUUCGCACCACCAAUUUGUUUCCGUCUCCAUCAAUCAAUCACAAUGUUUCGGCUAUUUCUUUGAUGUUAAAUGUCAGUUACGGGAAUAGCGGAAAGGUCGCGACUUUUUACGAGUCUCUCAGUUUCAAUUUAAUUUAUACGUCACACAUCAAUCUAUUACAAUCAUGUUUAUUUCCUUGGGUGGUAUACCCAAGCAUACAUAUAUAUGUGUGCGCGUCUGAUUAGCACAUUUUGGUAGUAAUUACAAUAAUGUGACAUUACAUUACUUUAUUCUAAUUGUAUUUUAUUAUUGCCUUUAUUAUUAUAUUGUAUUUGUAUAAUACUAUUGUUUCUAAUACUGUAUUGCAUUUUAUUAAUACCAUUGUACUAUUGGUUCCUGUAAACCCUAUC